AUCUGGCUCCUCGGGGCCCGAAUUGUAAUUUGUAGAAGAUGCUUUGGGUCUGGGCCUGGCCUAAGUUCCUUGGAACAGGACGUCGUAGAGGGUGAGAAUCCCGUAUGCGGCUGGCGCCCGUGCCCGUGUAAAGCUCUUUCAACGAGUCGAGUUGUUUGGGAAUGCAGCUCUAAAUGGGUGGUAAAUUUCAUCUAAAGCUAAAUAUUGGCCAGAGACCGAUAGCGCACAAGUAGAGUGAUCGAAAGAUGAAAAGCACUUUGGAAAGAGAGUUAAACAGUACGUGAAAUUGUUGAAAGGGAAGCGCUGGCAACCAGACUUGGGCGCUGUUGAUCCGCUAGGGUUCUCUCUAGGGCACUCGGCAGUGCGCAGGCCAGCAUCGGUUUGGGGGGUUGGAGAAUGGCUGGUGGAAUGUGGCUGUCUUCGGGCAGUGUUAUAGCCACCGGUGGCAUGCAGCCUCCCCGGACCGAGGACCGCGCUUCGGCUAGGAUGCUGGCGUAAUGGUUGUCAGCGACCCGUCUUGAAACACGGACCAAGGAGUCUAACAUCUAUGCGAGUGUUUGGGUGUUAAACCCAUACGCGGAAUGAAAGUGAACGUAGGUGAGAACCCGCAAGGGUGCAUCAUCGACCGAUCCUGAUGUCUUCGGAUGGAUUUGAGUAAGAGCAUAGCUGUUGGGACCCGAAAGAUGGUGAACUAUGCCUGAAUAGGGUGAAGCCAGAGGAAACUCUGGUGGAGGCUCGCAGCGGUUCUGACGUGCAAAUCGAUCGUCAAAUUUGGGUAUAGGGGCG
rnacentral:rRNA from 1 species